CGAGGACGAACGCUGGCGGCGUGCCUAACACAUGCAAGUCGAGCGGAGUCGGUAAGAGGAAGUUUCGGAUGGAAUCUUAUGAUUAGCGGCGGACGGGUGAGUAACGCGUGAGCGACCAACCUUGCACAGGGGGAUAACGGACCGAAAGGUUCACUAAUACCGCAUGAGACCACGGUGUUGCAUGACACAGAGGUCAAAGGAGCAAUCCGGUGCAAGACGGGCUCGCGUCCGAUUAGGUAGUUGGAGGGGUAACGGCCCACCAAGCCUAUGAUCGGUAGCCGACCUGAGAGGGUGAUCGGCCACAUUGGAACUGAGGUACGGUCCAACUCCUACGGGAGGCAGCAGUGGGGAAUAUUGGGCAAUGGGGGAAACCCUGACCCAGCAACGCCGCGUGAAGGAAGAAGGUUUUCGGAUUGUAAACUUCUGUCCUUGGUGAAGAGAAGAAGACGGUAGCCAAGGAGGAAGCCCCGGCUAACUACGUGCCAGCCGCGGC
rnacentral:rRNA from 1 species